GAUGAACGCUGACAGAAUGCUUAACACAUGCAAGUCAACUUGAAUUUGGGUUUUUAACUUAGAUUUGGGUGGCGGACGGGUGGGCAACGCGUAAAGAACUUGCCUCACAGCUAGGGACAACAUUUAGAAAUGAAUGCUAAUACCUGAUAUUAUGAUUUUAAGGCAUCUUAGAAUUAUGAAAGCUAUAAGCACUGUGAGAGAGCUUUGCGUCCCAUUAGCUAGUUGGAGAGGUAACAGCUCACCAAGGCAAUGAUGGGUAGCCGGCCUGAGAGGGUGAACGGCCACAAGGGGACUGAGACACGGCCCUUACUCCUACGGGAGGCAGCAGUGGGGAAUAUUGGACAAUGGACCGAGAGUCUGAUCCAGCAAUUCUGUGUGCACGAUGAAGUUUUUCGGAAUGUAAAGUGCUUUCAGUUGGGAAGAAAAAAAUGACGGUACCAACAGAAGAAGUGACGGCUAAAUACGUGCCAGCAGCCGCGGUAAUACGUAUGUCACGAGCGUUAUCCGGAUUUAUUGGGCGUAAAGCGCGUCUAGGUGGUUAUGUAAGUCUGAUGUGAAAAUGCAGGGCUCAACUCUGUAUUGCGUUGGAAACUGUAUAACUAGAGUACUGGAGAGGUAAGCGGAACUACAAGUGUAGAGGUGAAAUUCGUAGAUAUUUGUAGGAAUGCCGAUGGGGAAGCCAGCUUACUGGACAGAUACUGACGCUAAAGCGCGAAAAGCGUGGGUAACAAACAGG
rnacentral:rRNA from 1 species